CGAGGACCGAGCUCUUCUUUCUCUGCUUCCUUCUCCUUUCUUCUCCCCUCCCCUGUCCUCAUUCCCUGCCUUCUGUCUUGCCCACUCCCACCCCAUUUUCUGUUCCCUGCCCGUUUCCAUUUUCAGCCCUCCUACCUUCUCCCUGCUCUCUUCUCUCCCCUCCCUUUGGCUCUCUUCCCCCUUGCUGCCUGGGAAGCAGCAUCCAGCUUCUGCCUUCCAAGACCUACUGGGGGAGAAGAAGAGGAUCCCUGGACCUAUUUGGACUUCUCACACGCUAAAGAGGUGUCAUUCCAGCAGCCUGGAGAAGGAGAUAUGGCCAGAGAAUCUUCGUUUCUAAGAGGCAGAGGAUGCAGAGGAUGACCCCCUGCACCUUCCAGGAUCAGAGGAUCCUGAUGCGGUCAACUUACCACCAGGGGCCAGUUGGUCUCCUCAGGAAACAAUGCCAUUUCAAGGGUUUGAUGUUGGCUUUUCAUUACGGACAAGUUGGACAUUCAGAAGUGGCAGGAGCUAGAUGAGCCUUGGGUAGGUGGAAGCCCAUGUCAUUGGCCUGCCCAAGAGCAGC